AUACUUACAUGGCAGGGAAGAUACCGUGACCAUGGACAUUGUUUCCCAGUGCAAGGCCUAUCAUUGCACUCUCUUUGUGCUGACCCCACAAUUUCCCCAAGUGUGGGAAACUUAACUGCACAAUUUGUGGCAGUGGGGGACUGCUUAAGUGCUCUCCACUA
rnacentral:snRNA from 1 species